rnacentral:sRNA from 1 species
UCUUAGCCCCGAUUGUAGUGAAAAUCCUUUUUUGAAAAAAAAGAUUGCAACGGAAAGCGGGAAUUGCU